ACAACUAUUAUGCCCCAUCUCGUUUUCUUUAUCAUUUCGCAUUUACUCUACCAUUCAAAAGUAUUCGAUCAUUGAGUGUUUUCAAUGUAAAUUGACAAACUUUGAGAGGGCGCCAAAAAUCGAAAUGGUACCGGAUUUUCACGAAAGAUGGCGCAUUGGAUAGCUUGAUCCUUAAUCUUUAAAGGAAAAAUAUAAAAAAUAUUUUCACCAAAUAUGAAAAUUUGGAGAAUUUUGAAUUUUCCCGAAGGUCUGCAUGGCCUGGGAACAACUUUGUUCCCCGACUAUGCAGACCUUUGCAAAAAUUGGGAUUUCUCAAAAAUUUCAUAUUUGGUGAAAACAUUUUUUAUAUUUUUCCUUUAAAGAUUAAGGAUACAGUUAUCCAAUGCGCCAUCUUUCGUGAAAAUCCGGUACCAUUUCGAUUUUUGGCGCCCUCUCAAAGUUUGUCAA